rnacentral:rRNA from 1 species
AGCAGCCGCGGUAAUUCCAGCUCCAAUAGCGUAUAUUAAAGUUGUUGCAGUUAAAAAGCUCGUAGUUGAAUUUCGGGAUUGACGUGAUGGUCGUGCCUUAAGGGGUAUGAACUGUUGCUGUUGAUUUCUCACCUUCUGGAGAAACUUGACGUCCUUAAUUGGGUGUCUUGCGGAUCCAGGACCUUUACCUUGAAAAAAUUGAGUGUUUAAAGCAGGCAUUUUUGCUCGAAUACAUUAGCAUGGAAUAAUAGAAUAGGACGGCAUGGUUCUAUUUUGUUGGUUUCUAGGAUCACCGUAAUGAUUAAUAGGGAUAGUUGGGGGCAUUAGUAUUCAAUUGUCAGAGGUGAAAUUCUUGGAUUUAUUGAAGACUAACUACUGCGAAAGCAUUUGCCAAGGAUGUUUUCAUUAAUCAAGAACGAAGUUAGGGGAUCGAAGACGAUCAGAUACCGUCGUAGUCUUAACCGAUAAACUAUGCCGACUAGGAAUCAGACGAUGUUAAUUUUUAAUGUACUCGUUUGGC